rnacentral:lncRNA from 1 species
UUUUUCGAGGAAAACUUAAAUAAUCUUUUUUCAAGCAUACAAUUAGACCUUUCAAAAAAAAAAUAAUAAAAAGUUUCUAGCAUGAAAAUUAAGCGACUUACAAAAAAAAUGUCGGUACCUGCUUUUCUCUACGAAAAAAUCAGUGAAAACAUCUCCCUAACUACCUUCCUAAUUCAAAAUUGGUCUUCAUCUUUCUGUAGUUCCUAUUAUAUUUAUAUUAUCAAUACACUUAAGGAGUUUGACCUAUUUAAAAUGACUAAUUUUGGAGAAGUUGGAGUUUAAAAAAAAUUGAUAUUUUGCAAUUUGGUAUUUUUUACCUUUUACUUCAAAAUAUCUCCGAAAAUUAUGAAAAAAAUUAUAUACUACUAAAUUGUAGCUUUUUUAAUAACUAAAAUUACCCUGUACAUAGAUUUUCAUUACACUGAAUAGUUAGCCAGAUAUAGCUGUUUAAAUCCUCCAUUUACCAGCAAACACCCCCUUAUUCGAGCCCUUUAAACCCGCCCCAAUUAAAAUCUAAGGCAUCUUACGGAAUUUAAUUUACACAGUCUUACAACUCUUUAAAAACCCUACAAAAUCAUUUUUAAGGGGUCUCAUUACUGAGAGGGUAUCAAAGUUGCUUUCCUACGAAGGUAAUUAAAUCCAUUUACUAAGGCUGAAAAUCAGUACACAGUGAGAUAUAAUAUUUUUCCAAAAUUAGGCAUUUUAAAUAGGUCAAACUCCUUGAGUGUAUUGAUAAUAUAAAUGAAAAAGGAACUACAGAAAGAUGAAGACCAAUUUUGAAUUAGGAAGGUAGUUAGGGGGUUGUUUUCACUGAUUUUUUCGUAAAGAAAAGCAGGUACCGACAUUUUUUUGAUUAAAGUCGCUUAAUUUUCAUGCUAGAAACUUUUUAUUAUUUUUUUUAAAGGUCUAAUUGUAUGCUUGAAAAAAUAUUAUUUAAGUUUUCCUCGAAAAAUGCAAAUUUUUCCCAUUAUUUGGCUUUCAAUAUUUCAAAUUGUGCAUUUGACGAAAAAAGCUCACCUUUAACAUGCCGUAUCUCGGUUUGUAUUGGUCUUAAAGAUAUUAUUGAAAAAGAAUUUGGUUUGUGUUAAUAAAAGAUACAAUUUUGGUAUCCACAGUUUUUUUGAUUAAAUGCAUAUCUUUCGAGGUAUUCUCAAAAAACCCUCUAAAAAAGUCGAUUUUUUCGUCGAAAAACUGUUAUUUUCAAGCGCGAAUAACUCGAAAAAUAUUAGUUUUACGAAGAAAAUGUAAAAAACAUUUUUUUCUUAGAAUCACUUUUUCCAUCGAAUUACAUGGUUAAAAUGUAAUAAAAAAUUCCCACCCUCGAGAUGGGGUAGCAACCACCCCCAAGGUUUUAGCGUAUGAUAGCGGCGUAAUAUAGAAAAUGAUCCUUGGACUAUUCCAUACCGUCUGUGGAAAUUUCAAGUAAAUCCAUGGUGGACGAAAAAAUUGCGAGCCAAAAUGCUUCAUUUCCUUAAUCGACUAUUGGGCCCGACCGACCGGCUCUGUCCCGUCAUACAGCUGACCGACUUUAAUAACUUUUAUUUAUAUUUAAUUUAGAAUGUGUGUACUGAUUUUCAGCCUUAGUAAAUGGAAAUAAUUACCUUCGUAGGAAAGCAACUUUGAUACCCUCUCAGUAACCCCUGUUCUACGUUUCGCUUGACCGACCGCAGUAUGUUUCUCUACACACUCACAGUAAUCAACUGUGAAAAAUCUAGCUUUAGUAAAUUCAAAUAGAUUUUUCUGCGCUGCCUCUCCGUCUAUUAGUGUAAAGGGACUUUCCGGCCACCCUAUAGAUGCAGUGCAGUUCUGCUCGGAAUUUGUCUAACCGCAGACGACACUGUCGCUGCAGUCUGUGGUUUGCGGUCUGAAGUCUGCAGUCACUUUCGGAAUCAUACCUUUAUACUAAUGGUUAUGAAAAAGAGGUCGAUACUCACAAUCUUCAUCAGGCCACCAAUACAAAAGUCUUUGCUUCAGUUAUGGGGAGAAAUCUUGUGCUCUGUAAAUGUUGCCCUACCAUAUAUGGGCUCUUACUACAGGCACGGGCGUUGGGGGCAGUCCGUAAAAAAAUGUAUCCUUAAAAAAACUGGAAAACGUCAGAUUAAGACAAGGUAAGUUAAGUAAUCAAGAACAGUGUAUAUUUCAAAAAUCUGACGAUUUGAGCGGGGCGUACCCAAGCAGCAAUUUGUCGACGCGACAACGCUGUCUACCGCGUGGCAACGUUUUGUUACAACGUUGUUAUUGCCUAGAAGACGACCCUAUUCUGCACUAAUUUGGUGGACGAUUUUUGAGUUAUUUUGACGUUGCCCGCGCAGUCUAUGUUUAAGCAACAUCGUUUCGCAAACGUUCCAUAAGACAACUGGAGCGACUAUAAAAAGCGCCUACGUGCAAUGACUGUUCAAACAGUCGGACUGGUUAUGUAUUUAUACCUAUAUUUUUAACACCUGUGUGGUGACUGCGAAAACCAAAAAGUAAACUAUUGUGCGAAGAUGUAGGUGUUGUUGUCCUUACACUUCGUCCUGGUGGCGUAUUUACGUUUCCGUGUUCAUUUAAAGACCGGGUAGUUUUGAAAUCGGCACGUAAACGGCGGAGCAUAUCUGCUUUCAAACACGUGUGCAUUUCAAGACGUUUAAUUUUGAAAUGCGCACUAGUUUGUAAAAGAACUUCGCGCCUAAAAUUAUCACAAAUACGUGUUAAGUUGUAACAUUAUUUUAUUUUAUUUGAACUGUUUAUCACAAAUAGCUCCUAUCUGCAGAAUAACAAAUUAUCAUUCAUUGGAUCUGUGGAAGUAAAACAAUUUUGUUACCAAAGUUACCUUCUUUUUUUCUUUAUAAUUUUUCAAAAGACUCAAAGUAGUGCCAAAAUAUCCUGUCAAAGUAAACUAUUACGAUACGUAUACAUUUUGUAGUAAUGUACAACAAUAUAGGUACUAAAAGUGUUGUGUAUAUUAAAAACAUAUUUUAGUUACAGCUAAACAAUUAUUGUUCAGCAAACAUAUUUUUAGCUAUUUUUAAAGCUAUUUUUAAGGAAGAACAGGGUAUAUCAAUAAACGGAAAAUUCUUGAAAAACACAAGAUUCGCAGACUACACCGCUAUUUUUGCAGACACUUUAGAAGCACUGCAACGAGUAGUACCUAAAUAGAUUACAUCAAGUCAUUAUAAAAUAUGGACUAUGAAUGAACGUUAAGAAAAAAAAGUUCAUGAUUAAUUCUAAGCAACAUACAAUAGGAAGGCUAGAUAUCGAGGGAAAACAAGUAGAAAGAGUGAAUAACUACAAAUAUCUGGGAACCUGGGUAAGAGAAAACAACGACCAAGGUAGAAAAAUCAGGACACGAAUCGAAAUUGCAAGAAAAGCAUUUAUAAAAAUGAAAAAAAUGUUUGUUAAUCGAGACCUUUCUCUGGAGCUGAGAAUAAGAGCCUUAACAUGCUACCUGUUCUCAACUUUUUUGUAUGGAAUGGAAAGAUGGACACUGAAAGUAGACAACAUAAAGAAGUUGGAAGCAUUUGAGAUAUGGUGGAAUAGAAGGAUUUUGAAAAUACCAUGGAUCCAACGAGUUACGAAUGCAACUUAAAUAAUUUACUUAAACUUAAAUACACAACACGACCCUCAAAGCUAAGUUGAUAAAUAGCACGUGCAACGAUUAGUAGACCUGUUAGUUCUAUGCACUUGUUUGUAGAAUUCCAACGUCACAUGUUUCGGUACAAACCCGUGCACAUUUCGGGGGUUGGCUCUUUCAAAUCAACACCUUUUUGGAACUAGAUAUGUCAAAACUGCAAUGUCUUGAAAUGAACACGCAAACGGAAAUACGCGUCCUGGUGCCUUUGUUUCGCGCACCAGUCAUAGGUCGCUGGUUUUUUCCCCCUGGGAAACUGAAUUUUCUUUCCUUAGGGAACUGGUUUCACUUUUUCUAUACUUAUGCGAAGGACCACCCAAAGCUUUGGGACAAAUGAAAUAUGCGAAAAGAACGUUUUUACUAAGUCUAUUUACUAAAAACAGUUACAACAACGAAAUUUUGGACGCCGAUAGCUUGCUUGCGAUAGCUCAAUAAACGCACUAUGAGCACGAAAACAAAAGAAUUGGUACUAGUUACUCAACACGUAUUAAAGAGUCCGGUUUGCGCGGAACCGAGAGCGUUGAGCUCCAACCUUUCGACUGUCCCAUCUGGCAAUUGCAACUGUACUGUCUCCCGAACACAAGAACACCCCCCAACUUCCGUUCAUCGCAACCGUUUUACUUGACCUUCAGAAUUUCCUUUUUUAGGUAAAGUUUACGUCAGCCGGCUUUCUCGUGAAAUGGGCUGGUUUGGAAUUUUGGAUAACAAAGACAGAGAUAAAAAUUUCUAACUAUGUACUCUCAUUGUUAUAAUUCUUAAAAACGCAUUAGGAUUAUAUUUAGAAAGUUAGUUUGCAAGCACGUAUCGGCAUCCGUACAGAUAAUUGAAUUUUAGGAAAAAAUUUAAAAGUCUAUAUCUUAAAACUAAUAUACUGCGUGAGCGAAAUUAAACUAAUAUUAAACAUUGUUGUUUAGCAACAACUAUUUUGACAUCAUAUUAGGUAUUUAAAUUUAUAUAAAUAAAUAAAGGAUUUAAACAAAAUUACCUGAUGUGAUAUUUAUAAACGCAUCUCAGAUUACCGUCAAAUAUGGAUGGACCUUUUAAAAAACACAUGCGCAUCCUUUUUGACAAAAAAAUGCAAAUUUAAAAAAAUCAAAUUUUAAUAUAAAAUCCAAAAUUUAUGUUAAAGAUGUUCUGUAUAAAUUUAAUGUAUUGAUGGUGCUUUUAAAGGUAUCAGAAAAUGCCUGCAAUUGUUAUAUUUUGUGUUUUUAUUUUCUUUCAUCUCAAAAAAUCUCAAGUAAAAACCAAAAUGGCGCAUUCAACAAUAUUACCAAUAUUACUAAAAAUAUACCUUAUUACCAACCCUAGACGGAUGAUACGGCCGAGAAGUCCGAUCGGCAACCAAACACGGCCGGGCGGACUAUCCCAACCAUUUUAGAACACCCUCUUAUUGGGUGAAAAGUCCUGUGACCAGUGUCAAGUGAAAAUCUAGCAAAGCUGAUACAAAAAUUAAGGUUAUCAAAUCUACUGGUAAAACAAUGGAGAAACCAGCUAUUAAAAAAUCAAAUAGACAGGUUGUUAAAUAAAUCGAAAAUUUCCAGCAAAAUAAAAUAUAAAAUAAUAAGAAAAAAGUAAGGUUAUAUAGUAAAUUCUUCUUCUUCUUCUGAAGUUGCCCCAAACGUGUCACACGUGUAGAACUAUACUUAGGGUCGUGACAGACAACUACCGAGUCGGCCGGAAAACCCAUGGGCGUAGAUUAGUUUAGCAUUAUAACGUUUUUAAGUCGUUGCGAUUGUUGAAAAAACUGAACUGUAAUAAUAUGUAGUUGUCACAAUGAUAAUAAUUUAGUUGCUCAUAUAACUAAAGGUAUUACUUAACGUUGUAACAUCGUAAUGUCACCGGUAACAGGGGUGGGUGGUUGGCCGAAACAACUGACAAUGCACUGCAACGUUAUAUAUAUACAGUGCAUUUGUUUGUACUGACAAUCAAUGCGUCGAAAAAUUGCUACUUGGAUAAGGAAAUGGUCGAGUUACAAAGUUUCACAAAAAGCGAAUAUUUCGCGAAAUUAACAUCAAAUCGAAAAACUGAAAUAUACGUGUUCGAUAUUUUUCAAAAAUCUAUCGAAUGACAUCAAAUAAAACCUCCACGGGGGUCCUUGGCCAAAAUAAUAUUUUUAACCAGCGAGUAGUCGCGCCGUUAGAUAGAAUCUCACAUUUUAUCCUUUUUCGCGAUAACUCAAUGAAAAAUUUUCAACUGAUGUUCUAACAUCAACUCAUUAUCCCUUAACUUCUACUAGUCUUCCAAAAUAAUCUACUUUAACUUUUUCCACAGUUUUUAUUAAAUCGACCAGUCACAACUCUAACACUAUUUGGUCUCUUUCACCCAAUUUCAUAACUUAUCGCCAUUUGAUCAGGUUUUCGUUAUGGGUCCAACUAAACUUCAGAAAAAUAUUUAUAAAAGGUUUUUAUACUAAUUCUUCCACUCUCUUAUCCAUAGGAUGUGGGGUCUGGUUUCUGGGGCGCCCAGCCUUUUUCAUUACACCUCAUUACAGUAAACAAUUCUGAUAUCAAAUCAUAAAUUAUUCACUACCUUCUAAUUUUACACAUAUUGCUUGUUUUCCAAUACACCUUCAUACAUCCAUCCAGUUUUAAACCUUUUCAAUUCAACUCGAUAACUUGGUAUAAAAAAUAAAAAAUAGAAAAAUCCAUAUUUCACAAACAUGUUUAGUCCUAGAUGCCUAUGUUACAUAAAAGGACCUCAUACUUUUGCCAGGUUAUUAGUUCAAUUGAUAUUCUUCUUCACUUCCAAUAUCAACACUCAGGUACCUAUAACCAAUUAAUUCACAUAUCAUUAUAUCAUAUCAGUUUCCUCCUGUGACUCAUACAACUUAUAUUAAUUUCAACACUACUUUAAUAUCAGACUUCCAUUUACUACAGACUCUCUAAUUUACUCUGCCAUUAGUACAAUUAAACCAAACACUCCUUUUAAUUCAUAGUAAAUUAAAUUUUCAACAGCACAGUUGGACUUACUUCAAUUUGAAUAGGAACGGCAUUCAUCAACCUUUGAAUUAUGUAUAGGUGGCUGCAUAGAUUCUGGCUAUUUCUCUAUUUACAUUAUAAAAAUCAUUUCAUGCUCCACGUUCAUCUUACAUAUUCAAGGUCCUUACUUAAAUGUAAUUAUAGCCACAACUUUGUUGAUGUUUGUUAUUACUAUGUUAAUUUUCAUUAUAUAUUUUACUAACAAUUAGUUGGCUGUCGUAAUACAGGGUAAAUUCCACGUCACGUUGUCCAUCUGUCUUUUGACACCUUUCAGAAACAUCACUCAUUUUGCAUUCAGUUGCCAUUAAGUCAUUGAAAUGUGAUCAACUCAAUUUGGAUCCCACGUGUUGGGAAACCUGUAUACUUUACCUUAGGGCAUUAUCCUGUUUGCCAUGUGACCAUCACAUGCCUUUUUAUUGAAGUAUGCACUUUUAAGGCAUCUAUAUUUUAUGUAAAGGGUUUUUACCCAGAUAUUUUCUUUUGUGGCUCAGCUAGCAUCCAGUUUAUCGAACACUGAUGAUGAUUUUUUAUAAAAAUCGAAAACGUUUUGUUGUGAUGUAGCCCUUUUAAGGGAUUUUUAAUAAAACAAAAUUUUAUACCUUUUACAAAGGAUUUCUUUCCAAUUUUUUUAAUAAUUAUUGUUAGAAAUAAUAUUUCUAACAUAGCAAGUAAAUAAAAAUACUAUAAAAAAAAUUUGUUGUAAAUUCCUAUUUAAAUUCGUAUUGUGAGAUGAAAUUUAACACGCGACUGUUCACGUUACAGAAGUGAGCGCGACUACUCCCGGGUUUUAAAAGUGUGUUUGUAAAUUUUUGGUAUGUAAUGUCCAUAUGUAAAACAACUUAGUAUACAGUGAUGAGCGCGCUAAUAACCGGCAAAAUAACGAAAAAGAUGGAAAACAUAAUACAUUGCGAAACAAGAGAUGAAACUCAGGUUUCAGGUGGAAAUUAUCGUUAUAAACGUAUAAAUAUAACAUCACAUUACAUAGUUUCCCACCUUUAGACGUCUGUGACAGGAGUAUUUUAUAAAAUUCGACUGUCACAGUGACAGUUGUCAUAGUCCUCUGAUCUACUCUACUACUCUACUCCUCUGUCAUAGGUACUCCCUAAAGGUGGGAAACUAUGUAAUGUAAUGUUAAUUUAUACGUUUAUAACGAUAAUUUCCACCUCCACUAGUUUCAUCUCUUUUUGUUUCGCAAUGUAUUAUAUUUUCCAUCUUUUGCGUUAUUUUGCCGGUUAUAGGCGUGCUCAUCACUGUAUACAUAUUGCUCCAUAGUUUUUUCAAUAGUUUUCUUAAAUUUUUUUAAUACAAUAUACACAGAAAAUCCCGCAAACCUAAGUAAAUGAGUCCUUUGGAGGAGAAGAUGACAUACACUUGAUCAUCUAUGGUAGCGGAAAAUUCUUUGUAACUGAUAUCUUUUAGUUUUGUUUUUCUAUCAAACAAAGACUUUCGUAUUGCUGGCCUGAUAAUUGGGAACAUAUUGUAAGUCCCGAAACCGGUAGCCCAACCUUUUACCAACAAUAAACUACCUAAGACUGUGAGUGUCAACCUUUUUUUCAUAACCAAUAGUUUAUAAAUAUUUACCACCUCGUUAAAUGAGAUUUUAGAAUUUAGCAGUUAGCUCUCUUAUUGUAUAUAGAAUUAGCUAUUUAAAACAUCGACUGUACUUCUAUUAGUAAUAUAGUAAUUUUGUAAUUGUUA